rnacentral:rRNA from 1 species
ACAGAGGGGGCAAGCGUUGUUCGGAAUUACUGGGCGUAAAGGGCGCGUAGGCGGCCUUCUAAGUCGAACGUGAAAUCCCCGGGCUCAACCCGGGAACUGCGUCCGAUACUGGAAGGCUUGAAUCCGGGAGAGGGAUGCGGAAUUCCAGGUGUAGCGGUGAAAUGCGUAGAUAUCGGGAGGAACAUCAGUGGCGAAGGCGGCCAUCUGGACUGACACUGACACUGAGACACGAAAGCGUGGGGAGCAAACAGGA